GGGUGAGUGGCUCAAUGGUUAGAGCCUAGGUCUUUGGAGCGAAAGACCCCGGGUUCGAAUCUCGCAAGAGGCA
rnacentral:tRNA from 1 species